rnacentral:rRNA from 1 species
UACGAAGGGUGCAAACGUUGCUCGGAAUCAUUGGGCGUAAAGCGCACGUAGGCGGCUUCGCAAGUCGGAUGUGAAAUCCCUCGGCUCAACCGAGGACGUGCAUACGAAACUGCGAGGCUUGAGUACUGAAGAGGAUCGCGGAAUUCCCGGUGUAGAGGUGAAAUUCGUAGAUAUUCGCAAGAACACCAGUGGCGAAGGCGGCUCACUGGUCCGGUUCUGACGCUGAGGCGCGAAAGCGUGGGGAGCAAACAGG